AUUAAGCGGCCAGGAGGAGAUGGGGCAGGGGGCACCUAGCAGGGACUUAGAGACCGUCGCUAAGGAACUGGCGGCAGAGAGGAGAGCAGGGAAGAGGCGGAGACCAGGACUCUGCAGGACGACUGAUGAGGACAGCUGGCGAUGAGGCCCCCAUCUGAUUCUGGAGUCAGUGUCUGGCUGAAAGCUGGGCAUACAGGACUAUUCAAGACGGAGUUUCACCAUGUUGACCUCAGGUGAUCCACCUACCUGGGCCUCCUAAACUGCCGGGAUUACAGGCGUGAGCCACCGCGCCCAGCUCUUCAAGUUUCUGCUACCAAGAUGCCUUCACUGAAUAAGGAGCUGGGUGUACAAUGGGCACUCGUGACCUGGCAUGAGCGGAUGCCAGCAUGCCACUGUCCACGGGCAUCUAAGUGGGGAUAUUCAGUCAGCCAUUGGAUGUACACCAAGUCGGCACACGGGGAAGAGACAUCUGGGCUGGAGACAGUAAUGGAUGAAGUCACCAAUGAAUAACAUGGAGAGUGAGCAGAGGAGGCCAAAGUCAGUAUUCUGGGAAAAACAAUGUUUGCAGAGUGCCCUGAGGAGGAGGAGAUGCUAAGAAGCCAGAAGAGGUAGAGGAAGGAGGCCCUGUGACCCAUCAGAGCCACAUCCGCCACUUGCUCUCGAGGGUCCUGCCUGCUCAGAUAAGUUGGCUACUCAUUGGUCAUCACCUGGCAACUCUGUCCUUCCUUGCAUCUGGCCAACUUCUUUUUCCUCUCUCUUUCCUCCUGCCCUCCUCAUUACCAUCUAAAUUAGCUCCAGUAGCUCUCAUCAAAA
rnacentral:lncRNA from 1 species